UUGACGGGGAGCACCACAACGGGUGAAGCUUGCGUUUAAUCGGACUCAACGCCGGGAAACUCACCAGAUAAGACAGCUGAAUGAUAGUCGGGCUGAAGACCCUACUUGACUAGCUGAGAGGAGGUGCAUGGCCGUCGUCAGUUCGUACUGUGAAGCAUCCUGUUAAGUCAGGCAACGAGCGAGACCCACGCCAACAGUUGCCAGCUCGUCCUCCGGGAUGGUGGGGACACUGUUGGGACCGCCUCUGCUAAAGAGGAGGAAGGAAUGGGCAACGGUAGGUCAGCAUGCCCCGAAUUAUCUGGGCUACACGCGGGCUACAAUGGGUGGGACAAUGGGUAUCGACACCGAAAGGUGAAGGCAAUCUCCUAAACCCAUCCGUAGUUCGGAUUGUGGGCUGCAACUCGCCCACAUGAAGCUGGAAUCUGUAGUAAUCGUGUCUCAAAAUGGCACGGUGAAUAUGUCCCUGCUCCUU
rnacentral:rRNA from 1 species